AGCACCGGGAAGGGAUCUGCGAGUGGCGCCGGCGCCUUUAAAUAUCUUGCUCUAGCUUGCAUAUUCAUGAGUCUCGCUGGGGCUGAGCCGUCUGGGCGGGGCCCAACGCACAAGGGCGGGACCAGAGCGAACUUCGAUCCCUGCUGAAAAAAUGCCGGGUUUCAUCGGGUUUGGUUCUUGUACCCCUAGCACGGGUUCUGCAAGGGAGCUCGGAGAGAAGCCCGAGAGCGAACGCGAGGCUGUUCUAUCUUUCAUUCGUUCAGCCAGUGAAUCUGAUGUUAAAACCGAGUGGAACUGAAAUGCCAACUAGUUCACUUCCCUGAGCCUCAAUUUCCUCAUCUGUAAAAUGGGCCAAAUGGUAUCUACUACACAGGUUAUAAAUAAAAUUGCAAUAUGUGAGGUACCUAGUACAUCCCAGAUGUUCCACUCUCCUCCACCUAACCACUAUCCUGAGUUUCGAUGAAAAAAGGCACACAGUGGUUAAUUGGCCCAAAGUUAGGAAGCACCGAUGAUUUCUGACUCGAGAACUUCUUCUGGUAUUGGCUAUCGUCAGACUGGCUCCCCAUGCUCACAAGAUGGCGACCACAGGCCCAAAUAUCACAUCCUUAUGACAAUGUUCAGGGGCAGAAGAAAAGGACCUUCUCUUCCUUCUGUCCCUUUUUAGGAUGAAAGGAAAACUUUGCUAGGUGUG